AUUAAAAAAAAGGGAAAGGUGAUGUAAGGAUAUUUUCAAAAGAUCAAUAACAAAUUUCAGAUAUUAGAAGCUUCAACUGGCUUCCCCAUAAUACAUGUAGCAAAAAAAUAUAAAUCCAUCAGAAAAAAGGAAUCUUCUGGAAAUUCAUUUUGCCCAACUGAUUGUCGACCCGGCAACCACUGAACAGAACGUUGCUCUAUCCUUUCAAUCGUUGAACACCAAACAGGGUAGAGAAACUCCUAUCUUUUAACGUCUGCAGCUAGGUUUGAACUCCCGACCUCCCGGUUGUGAGACAGACGCUCUACAAACUGAGCCAACUCACCCGUAUACAUAAUAAGAAAUAGGCCUACAUUUAAAAAAAAAUCUUUCUUUUAUUUUCAUCCAUCGAAUCAGUUGCAGCCCCCUCCCCAUUGUAUGAACAUUUUGGUUUUAUUUUCAAAUAAUGUUAUGUGAAUUACUCUUUCCCUGUACCCGUCUGAAGUACACGUACCAUGCCUCCCCUGCUCAUAUGGUGUUACCAUUGGCCAGAAAUAUAGGGCAGCAUUUCAUGAGUAUCACAUUCAUACAUAUUUUUCUAACAUUACCGUAUAAUGUUUCCUGUAAAGUCACGCACAAAGCUUCAUAUUCAGACAAAUUCUCAAUGGAUAGAUGUAUAAAGACAUUGAUGGAUUAAUAUCGGGGCAAAACAAGAGUUCUUUAAAUACUCUCAGGGAUGAAAAACAGUCUUUAUUUCCUGAUGGAAGAACAUUGUGAUGUGAAAUCAGAUAUAUCUCAGGUGUGGUAUAAUGGUAUUGAUAAUGAAGGGGCAUAGAUCUUCUUACCCACACUGUGCCUCUUACUCUACUGAAUUAAGUAAGUUUCUGUUUAGGGACAAGCUUGUUUUAGUUCUUGUUCUGCAUGUACAUAUUAUUUUAAUUUGUAGACCUGGGUCAAUUUUUUUAUUUCUUGUAUACUUUUAUGAAAUAAUAGACAUGUUCCCUUGAUAAUAGACAAGCCAGUCAGUUGUGUGGAAGGACAUGCAUUUUGUUACAGCUCAAACAAAAUAUAUGCCUUUGUGGGAAAUAGAUUUUUUCCUUAAAGAUGCCUGAUGGAUAUAUUUUAUGAAAAUCAUACUUUUUUCUGUUUUAUUGAAUCUUUAUCUUUAUUAAAUCCUCAAUAAAGGAUAUACAGAUCUAGAAUAGUGACCCAACUUAGAGGAGAUACUUGUAAUCCCUCGGUUAGUAUUUUUUGUGGUCUUUACAAUUUCUCUAUUAAAAACCACAAGUCAAUAAAUUCUAAAAGGGGGGUUCAAUACAUUAUACUUCAAAAGUUGUUGGUUAAAUAGAGUUGUCCAUUAUUCAUUACUUCUAUUUUAUCCUAAAGGUCAUUGUCCAACUUGACC